UACAGAGGUCCCAAGCGUUGUUCGGAUUCACUGGGCGUAAAGGGUGCGUAGGUGGCUUGGUAAGUUUGAUGUGAAAUCUCCGGGCUUAACCCGGAAAUGGCAUUGAAUACUAUUGAGCUGGAGGUUUGGAGGGGGGACUGGAAUUCUCGGUGUAGCAGUGAAAUGCGUAGAUAUCGAGAGGAACACCAGUGGCGAAGGCGAGUCCCUGGACAACACCUGACACUGAGGCACGAAAGCUAGGGGAGCAAAACAGG
rnacentral:rRNA from 1 species